rnacentral:rRNA from 1 species
UUUCCAGACUCCUACGGGAGGCAGCAGUCGGGAAUAUUGCGCAAUGGAGGAAACUCUGACGCAGUGACGCCGCGUAUAGGAAGAAGGUUUUCGGAUUGUAAACUAUUGUCAUUAGGGAAGAUAAAAGACUGUACCUAAGGAGGAAGCCCCGGCUAACUACGUGCCAGCAGCCGCGGUAAUACGUAGGGGGCAAGCGUUAUCCGGAUUUACUGGGUGUAAAGGGGGCGCAGACGGCAGCGCAAGCCAGGAGUGAAAGCCCGGGGCCCAACCCCGGGACUGCUCUUGGAACUGCGCGGCUGGAGUGCAGGAGGGGCAGGCGGAAUUCCUGGUGUAGCGGUGAAACGCGUAGAUAUCAGGAGGAACACCGGUGGCGAAGGCGGCCUGCUGGACUGCGACUGACGUUGAGGCCCGAAAGCGUGGGGAGCAAACAGGAUUAGAUACCCCAGUAGG